GAUGAACGCUGGCGGCGUGCCUAAUACAUGCAAGUCGAGCGAACGGACGAGAAGCUUGCUUUUCUGAUGUUAGCGGCGGACGUGUGAGUAACACGUGUAUAAUCUACCUAUAAGACUGGGAUAACCUCGAGAAACCGGAUCUAAUCCCGGAUAAUAUUUUGAACCGCAUGGUUCAAAAGUGAAAUACGGCCUUGCUGUCUCUUAUAGAUGGAUCUGGGCUGCAUUAGCUAGUUGGUAAGGUAACGGCUUACCAAGGCAACGAUGCAUAGCCGACGUGAGAGGGUGGUCGCCCACACUGGAACUGGAACGCGGACCAGACUACUACGAGACGCAGCAGACGGGAAUGGUACGCAGUGGUGGAAAGCCUGACGGAGCAAGGCCACGUGAGAGAUAGCGGCCUUGGGAUCGUGAAAAUCUGUUAUUGGGGAAGAACAUCUGUGUACGGAACUGUGCACAUCGUGACGGUACCUAAUCAGAAAGCCACGGCUAACUACGUG
rnacentral:rRNA from 1 species